UCUGCCCAUAGAGGUGUUACAGGUGUGGCUGCUGUGUCACAUGUGUGUCACAGUAGGUGGCAGAGAGGAGAGAGGCUAUGUCUAUGCUCAGUGUUCUGACCUAUGAACAUCUGAUGAUUAAUACUUUCUGU